UAAGACGAACCGUGCGAACGUUGUUCGGAAUCACUGGGCUUAAAGGGCGCGUAGGCGGGUCACCAAGUCUGGGGUGAAAUCCUCCAGCUUAACUGGAGAAUAGCCUUGGAUACUGGUGGUCUCGAGGGAGGUAGGGGCAGCUGGAACUUCCGGUGGAGCGGUGAAAUGCGUUGAUAUCGGAAGGAACGCCGGUGGCGAAAGCGAGCUGCUGGACCUCUUCUGACGCUGAGGCGCGAAAGCCAGGGGAGCAAACGGGAUUAGAUACCCCGGUAGUCCUGGCCCUAAACGAUGGGUACUAGGUAGUGGACUGGACAUGGGUUCCCUGCCGAAGCUAAAGUGCUAAGUACCCCGCCUGGGGAGUAUGGUCGCAAGGCUG
rnacentral:rRNA from 1 species